GGUUCAUGUAUUUUUUUUUUCUAAGUUUACAAUUAUUGAUUGAUUUUCAAAGUGGAUAAAUUGAAACUUGAUAUGUCAGCAUCAAUGAAUCAUUUUUUUAUGGUGUAUUUCUUUAAAUUUUUUGUUUAUUUUUUUUUUACAUUUUUUCUGUUUUCAUUCUUUUGAACAUGUUAAAUACUAAAAUAACCAAGAUGUUUAGAACUGUAGUAAACAAAAACAAAACAACCCAAAACAUAUUAUUUUUUUCUUCAGUUUUCAUUCUUUUGAACAUAUAGAAAACUAAAAGUAAAAUCACCCAAAUGAUUAGAACUAUAAGCAAAAAAAA
rnacentral:lncRNA from 1 species